rnacentral:rRNA from 1 species
UACGUAGGGUGCAAGCGUUGUCCGGAAUUAUUGGGCGUAAAGAGCUCGUAGGCGGUUUGUCGCGUCUGCUGUGAAAACCGGAGGCUCAACCUCCGGCCUGCAGUGGGUACGGGCAGACUAGAGUGCGGUAGGGGAGAUUGGAAUUCCUGGUGUAGCGGUGGAAUGCGCAGAUAUCAGGAAGAACACCGAUGGCGAAGGCAGGUCUCUGGGCCAUAACUGACGCUGAGAAGCGAAAGCAUGGGGAGCGAACAGG